AAACAAAUGCCAAAAGUUCGGACAAGCUUAAUUGUUCGAACAUACAAUCAAUUGUAUGUUCGAACAAAAGCUUGUCCGAACUUUUGGCAUUUGUUUACAUUUUUG